rnacentral:rRNA from 1 species
ACUACGGGUGGCAGCAGUGGGGAAUAUUGGGCAAUGGGCGCAAGCCUGACCCAGCAACGCCGCGUGAAGGAAGAAGGCUCUCGGGUUGUAAACUUCUUUUAUCAGGGACGAAGCAAGUGACGGUACCUGAUGAAUAAGCCACGGCUAACUACGGGCCAGCAGCCGCGGUAAUACGUAGGUGGCAAGCGUUAUCCGGAUGUACUGGGUGUAAAGGGCGUGUAGGGGGGAGAGCAAGUCGGAUGUGAAAUUCCAGGGAUUAACCCUGGAACUGCAUUUGAAACUGUUUUUCUUGAGUGAUGGAGAGGCAGGCGGAAUUCGGUGUGUAGCGGUGAAAUGCGUAGAUAUACGGAGGAACACCAGUGGCGAAGGCGGCCUGCUGGACAUUAACUGACGCUGAGGCGCGAAAGCGUGGGGAGCAAACAGGAUUAGAUACCCGAGUAGUC